GGGAGCGGAUCCGGCCUGGUGGCUGGCCUGGACUUCAAAUCCAGUCGGGAGGUAGUGAUCCUGCCUCUGGUGUGUUCGAUUCGCACACGUUCCCGCCA
rnacentral:tRNA from 1 species